GACGAACGCUGGCGGCGUGCUUAACACUUGCAAGUCGAACGGAAAGGCCCUGCUCUUGUGGGGUGCUCGAGUGGCGAACGGGUGAGUAACACGUGAGUAACCUGCCCUUGUCUUUGGGAUAACUUCAGGAAACUGGGGCUAAUACCGGAUAGGAGCUCCUGCUGCAUGGUGGGGGUUGGAAAGUUUCGGCGGUUGGGGAUGGACUCGCGGCUUAUCAGCUUGUUGGUGGGGUAGUGGCUUACCAAGGCUUUGACGGGUAGCCGGCCUGAGAGGGUGACCGGCCACAUUGGGACUGAGAUACGGCCCAGACUCCUACGGGAGGCAGCAGUGGGGAAUAUUACACAAUGGGCGGAAGCCUGAUGCAGCAACGCCGCGUGCGGGAUGACGGCCUUCGGGUUGUAAACCGCUUUCGCCUGUGACGAAGCGUGAGUGACGGUAAUGGGUAAAGAAGCACCGGCUAACUACGUG
rnacentral:rRNA from 1 species